rnacentral:rRNA from 1 species
GACGAACGCUGGCGGCGUGCCUAAUACAUGCAAGUAGAACGCUGAAGAGAGGAGCUUGCUCUUCUUGGAUGAGUUGCGAACGGGUGAGUAACGCGUAGGUAACCUGCCUUGUAGCGGGGGAUAACUAUUGGAAACGAUAGCUAAUACCGCAUAACAAUGGAUGACACAUGUCAUUUAUUUGAAAGGGGCAAUUGCUCCACUACAAGAUGGACCUGCGUUGUAUUAGCUAGUAGGUGAGGUAAUGGCUCACCUAGGCGACGAUACAUAGCCGACCUGAGAGGGUGAUCGGCCACACUAGGACUGAGACACGGCCCAGACUCCUACGGGAGGCAGCAGUAGGGAAUCUUCGGCAAUGGGGGCAACCCUGACCGAGCAACGCCGCGUGAGUGAAGAAGGUUUUAGGAUCGUAAAGUUCUGUUGUAAGUCAAGAACGGGUGUGAGAGUGGAAAGUUCACACUGUGACGGUAGCUUACCAGAAAGGGACGGCUAACUACGUG